GGCGGCGUGCCUAACACAUGCAAGUCGAACGAGAAAGGGGAGCAAUCCCUGAGUAAAGUGGCGACCGGGUGAGUAACACGUGACUAACCUACCCUCGAGUGGGGAAUAACUCCGGGAAACCGGAGCUAAUACCGCAUAACAUCUUCGGAGCGCAAGCUCUGUUGAUCAAAGGAGCAAUUCGCUUGAGGAGGGAGUCGCGGCUGAUUAGCUAGUUGGCGGGGUAAUGGCCCACCAAGGCUUAGAUCGGUAGCCGGCCUGAGAGGGCGCACGGCCACACUGGAACUGAAACACGGUCCAGACUCCUACGGGAGGCAGCAGUGGGGAAUUUUGCGCAAUGGGGGAAACCCUGACGCAGCAACGCCGCGUGGAGGAUGAAGUCCCUUGGGAUGUAAACUCCUUUCGACCGGGACGAUACUGACGGUACCGGUAGAAGAAGCACCGGCUAACUCUGUGCCAGCAGCCGCGGUAAUACAGAGGGUGCGAGCGUUGUUCGGAAUUAUUGGGCGUAAAGGGCGCGUANGCGGUGCGGUAAGUCACCUGUGAAAUCUCCCGGCUCAACCGGGANUCUGCAGGCGAAACUGCCGUGCUGGAAUAUGGGAA
rnacentral:rRNA from 1 species